GUUCAUAUGCUGGAAAAGUAAGCACAGUUUCUUUUAGAAUACGUAUUGCAUAUAAUAUAUCAUAUAUACACAAGUACCAGAAAUGAUAACCAGUACCCGAUUAGAUACGAACCACGGGUGUCAGCAUGGUAUAUUAUAUUUCAUUGCAGAAAGUCUCGAGUGCUUCAACUGUCAAAACUUAGUUGAUUCUCAUGCCUGUACUAACACCAGCCAAUGUUCCAGUAGCCAGUCCUGCUUUCUCCAAACUGUCCACUCAGGCAACGAUAUACGGUACAACAUGGGCUGUCAGAGCAAUCAGCAUCUGCAUGUAUUGACGAUCUCCAACUGGACUGUGCUCGAUUGAAUUCCAUUUUUAACGUGUGCUGAUGUUCAUCAUGCCAAAGAGACUUGUCCUAGGUUUUGUGGAUUGUGCCUGCUAGUUGAUGGAAACUGGGCAUACUGGAGUAUCUGGUCAAACUGCAGUGGGACAUGUGAAAAUGGGAUACACACACGCACACGCACGUGCACCAACCCGACCCCUAGCAACGGCGGACUCAACUGCAGUGGGCCAAACGUGGACUCCAAAAUAUGUGC